GGGGCUAUAGCUCAGUUGGGAGAGCGCCUGCCUUGCACGCAGGAGGUCUGCGGUUCGAUCCCGCAUAGCUCCA
rfam:Psychromonas ingrahamii 37, complete genome.